CUGGGAUUUUGAUAGGUAUUGCAUUGAAUCUGAAGAUUGCUUUUGGUGAGAUUAUAAGACAUUUUCUUAAUUAGUGAUUCAGAGGGAAGGGCCAGUCUAUUGUACGUGGUGUCAUCCUUGGGCUGCUUUUCCUAGGUUCUGUGAGAAAGCAGACUGAGCAAGCAUGAGGAGCAAGUCAGUAAGAAGCAUCCCUCCAUGGCUUCUACAUCAGCUCCUGACUCCUGGUGCCUGCCCUGUUUGAGUUCCUAUUCUAAUUUCCUCCAGUGAUGAACAGCACAGUGGAAGUCUGCUGCAGGAGAAAUGGCAGACACCCUACUGAUAGUCCCCUUGUAAGUCUGUGAUUUUCACUUCCCGAGGGAAAUUUUGUAGAGCCUGAGCAAACAAAGACUGCAGUUGAUGUCACAGUAACCAAGGGUCAAAGCUCAGUUCUUUCACCGUUGCCUGAGAAUAUGACAUCUUGACCUGACAAGCACAAACUCUGGUUCACUCACAGCUCCAUGACAUAGGACUUUCCACCUCUUUCUGGAACCUAUAGAAAGGGACCUCCAUUCUGCCCCGUGGGCCUGAACUUUCUGAAGAGCUCCCACCAUGCUGCUGUCUAUCUGUGGAGUUAAUACUUUGCCUGAUAAAUUUCUAA